GCGCGCCGCCCGCCGCCCGGGGCCGACACUCACCCGCCGCGGAGGCAGACGCCAGGCGGCUCUGCGCCUCCAGCCAGUUGAGGCAGCGCAGGCCCGGUGCUGGGGAGGGCUGGUCCGCCCGGUACAGGUGGCCGUUGUCCCAGAAGCAACCUGUGAGGAAGAGGAGCCCCCGCAACCCCCAGACCCUGAGCGGCCGGCAGAGGAGUCGGACCUGCCCCGCCUGGGCGACCCUGGGCCCGGCUGGGCCUCCCUGACCUCAUGUGGAAAACCCGAGCUGCCUUGAAGGGUGGUUGUGAGGCCGGAAAGAGAAGGAAGAGAAAGCGCAGAGAAGGAACAGCGCGUCCAAAGCCCCUUUGGUGUCCGGCCCUCACUCAGCGCUCAGAGAAUGUUAGCUUUUAUUUUUGUAAGCCGGCAGGCGCUGCACAAGUGCACAGGGUUGUUACUCUGGAACUUAUGGCCACUUUGGAGGAGCGUGCAGGGGAGACUUGGGUUCGGGUCCCUUUUUGGAGAUGUUGGGAGUUUUGGGUCGGUGGGCGGCCAGGCCUGAAAUUCAUCCCUGUGUUGUAAUUCCAUGUUGCAUAAACUGGGGUAUUCCUUUCACGGAUAUGGCCACACUUGCACUGGCAACACUCCUCCCCAAGAGAAUUCUACAAAAGCCUGGAUUCAGUCAGGCAAAAGAGAGCCUCAACCGGAGGGAACCUGCCUCAUCCACUGCUUGGAUGGGAUUCCAAAUUCCCACUCCCUUCAGCAGGAGAGCCUGGGGGACGAGGGCCUGUGCUGCCAACCACACCAAGCAAAACCCCUGAAAAGAACAGGACUUAGGGAGUAGGGGAGAUGAACCCCAAAUUCCGUCCACUCAUGAGCCACAGGCAAGGAAAAGGAAAGUAGCUACUUGCUUUCGUUAAUGACAAAUAUGGAGCUGCAAGCCCCUGACAGGGAAAGGAGAAAGAAGGAGAGAGAAAAAGCCUUCAUGGAACAAGAGAAACCAGCAACAAAGCUUCAUUUCCUGUCAUUUUGCUGUCAAGUCUGGCUAUGCUUGGGAAAUAGCUUUACCCGUUCUACUUCAUUUAAGUUGCUGCAGGAAGGAAAGAUUGUAAUCUCACCUCCAGAUCCAUAGGCUUCUGCUAGGAGCAUGUUGCUGAUGAGGAAUGUUUGCACCCAGGCCAAGAGCAUCCUCACCUCCUUCAUCUUGCAGGUGAUUGACCAACCAGUGUCCAACUGGGUUCCCCUUGGCGUCGGCUCUGCCUCCCAGUCCCAGGCUUGCAGUCAGACCUGCCCUUGUUAUGCUCUUCUGGUAAACAGCGUCUCUUUAGAAUUGGGAGCUUCCCAGCUAGCUUGCUGCAGCGAGGUGUUUUUUCCGCUGAAAGGCGCCCCCUGGGUCCUAAGCCUCGUAUGCCAAGCAAGAUCACUAAGCCAAGAGAGGAACUCUGCCCACAGAAGAAAGAGGCAGAGUUCAGGUUGUGCUUAGCAGAGGAUCAGUUUGAGAUCUACACUGACUGCAUCCCCGGGGCUUUUCAUCUCUUCUGUUUCCAUUUGUGUGAGGAAGCUGAGAUUCAGAAAGAUUCUGCACAAGAGAGCCAGUGUUUGGAUGUUGCCACACAGAGGAAGAAGGCAACCAGCAGCCAGUUAGCUUUGAAGAGCAGCAACUAGCCAGCAGAGAGACCACUGCUUCCCCAAGGCUGUCAGUCACAGAGAGAGAGAGAGGCAGAGACACAGGCAGAGGGAGAAGCAGGCUCCAUGCACCGGGAGCCCGACGUGGGAUUCGACCCGGGUCUCCAGGAUCGCACCCUGGGCCAAAGGCAGGCGCUAAACCGCUGCGCCACCCAGGGAUCCCUCAAAUGACUAUUUACUAACCAACCAUUUAGGCUGCUUCCACAAUUUAUAUACAUCUUUAUGCAUUAAGCUGUUGAGAGUUACUUUGUUAGAUAUCUCCCAAAAAGUAGAAUUAUUGGCUUAAAAGAUAUAAAUAUUUUUAGACGUUUGAUAAAUUCUCAUAAUUUUCCAGAAAAUUUCUGCCAUUGGCAUAGAAAAGUAAGGGUGAGCCUUGGAACUAAAAUCUUCUGAUUCUAAAUCUCGGGCCUUUUUUUUUUUCUCUGUGCUGGAUUUAUGAGCUUUGGUUUUCUUCUUGUGAAAUGGAGACAAGUGCAUGUGUCAUGAUCACAAGAAUCAGAACUAUGUCCUCAAUAAAUAGCAGUAGUUCUUGUUAUAAUGAAAGAAUAUUUGCAGAAUUCCCCUAGGAAAUUGUCUUUGUUCAGUCACCCACACUGGCCCCCACACUAGAGCACAGUCUGCCCUGACCUUCUUCUUCUCAAUCUGUUCUUCUUCUCAAUCUGACGGUUGGCUGACUUUUCCCAGCAGCUCCUACACAGUCUGAAAUGGUCCUCUUCUCCCUCACUGGCGUGAAGGGAUUUGUCACUUUGAUCGUCUGUCAACUGGUAUCUGGACUUCAGAUACUUCAAGGCUGGUAUCUGCCCAUGUCCUUCCUUCUCUGAACCCCCUUGCUCCUCCCCCAUCCAUCCUACAUCAUCAAGUCCUAAGGGUGUUGCAGGGUCCUACUCUAGUGGUAUCUUCUCAGGCCUGGCUGGCACUUUAUCCUUCUCCAAAUCAUCAGAACAUUUAUUUCCCCUCACUUCUCAUGUUACAUUCUCUCUUGUAGUCCAGACAUCUGUUUAUGUGUAUGUCCCAUGCAUGGCCUGUACUACUCUGUAUGCUUAGGCUCCUUGAGAACAGGAAUUCAGUUUUUCUUAGCACACAGUAGCCACUCAGAAUAUCUGUUGAAUGAAUUAGUGGUUGCUCAGCGCCAAGCACUAUUCUAGGUAUUGAGAAUACAAAAAUGACAGAAAUGAAUUAUCUUUGCAUGAAUCCCAUUUGCAAAGGAACCUGGUCUCAUAUGGGGAGAUAGAUUCAUAAAAACAUGAUGCAAAAGUAAAAAUAUGUGCAGAACAGGGAGAUGCCACAGAGGGAGACACAGUAAUGGAGCCCUGGGCUCCAGUCUGAGCAGCUCAGGAUUCCAGUUGGCUCUGCCAACUUCAUAGCUAUGUGACAUUGGCAUUACUUGAUCUCUCUGGCCCUCAAUGAGAAUAAAAUAACUUAUACCAUAGAGCUGUUGCCAUAUGUAAGGCCUCUUGCACAGAGCAUGGCAUAUAGUAGUGAUAUAAUAAAUGAAAACUCUCUUCUGGAGGAAACAGAGAAAGCUGUAUAGAUGAGGGGCUAUCUGAGCUGAGCUUUUUGAAUAAAAAUUCCUCAGACAGGCAAAAGAUAAAGACUUUAUUAUAGGCAGAGGAAACUACAUGAAUUAGCAAAUAGUUUAUAAUCAUCCAAAAAAAAAAAAUUGAACACAAGCUCUGCCACUCAUGGAGUUUGUGCUCCUUACCAUGGGUGCCAAAACAUUCAGCAGGCUCAAGGCACAGAUUUUGACUCAGAAGAGGAGAAAAUCAGAAGAGAAUGCCCUUGAAGGAGGGAGGGAGAUGUGAAUAAUCACGCAGUGAUUGCCACAGGCUUUGACCUAUGCCUAGUAUGGACUGGCCCCAGGGUAGGGCACCAGAUUUACAGAGGGCAGCAGAAUUUCCCUGAAGCAAAAAUAAGUUAUUUUCCUGUUGUACCCAUCCAUAGUGAUACAAAGAAGCUUUAUUCAGAGGCACCUACCUCCACGCUGCCCUGUCAUCAAAGGAAAUGUGUUUUGUUAGGAUAGAUUUCUUCUCUUAGAUAAAUAUUUGGCAUUUCCCUUCACAGCAGUUUAGCAAGAGAUGCAAAUCCAGACAUUUAGUGCUCUGCCCUCCACCUCUCCACCUCAGUGAGAACUGCUUUACAGGGUCUAAAGGCACCCUAUACUCUUGGAGAGAUUCAGAGGAGGGGCAGAGGUGGUCACAAGAGUGGGGAGAGGAGGAGUAUGUAAGGACUAGAAUUCCGGAGGCUCUGCUGCCAGGCAUUCAGUGGCCAGGCAUGAUUAUGUAAAUUGGAAGAAACCCCAGCAGCCUGUUUUCUCCAAGGCCCAGGACAGAUUUUAAAGAUGCUGGUGAGAGAGGGCAGGUUUUAGGUAACUUCAGGGAGAGUGCUGACUACCGUCCUUUAAAUAUAAGAGGGGACAUGACUAUGGCAUUUCCUCCUGCAAGGGGCACUCAAGAGAACUGUGAAAUUCUGAAUUCACUGCUCAAGCUAGCAGCCUGGUGCUUCAUCCCUGGUGCUUUAGAGUCCAGACCUUUCAGAAAAGCCAGAAAGCACAUAUAAAUAAGCCCCAAGGAAGAACUGAAGGCAGUAACAGAAUUCAUUCAGCAUUUCCUCCAACUCCUUCCUUUUGCCAGCUCCCUGCCUACCCUCUUCUCCUGUCCUUCCUCCUCUACUUCUACCCCCAAAGGAGACCUAAAUGAAAACAAAAGAACCAGAAAACUGGAUAGGUGACCUGGGCUGGCAGUUCUUGUUCUGAGCACAUUAGGCCCUUCUGUGCGUGGGCUCGAGUUCUUGGAAUGACCUUGGUUGGGGGAUGUGGAAUUACACUCUGCAUGGAUCGAUGGAUUGAUCAGCAGACCAAGAAAUCACAAGCUCUGGGUGUCAGAGUAGCUUAACUCACAGGAACUGUUAGCCCAUGAUAGGCUGGGACCCCAGUCAGGGUGAAAUCCAAGAUUUGAAAUCAGGUGAAGGCCUGGAGAAAUAGCCUUGGGCCAUGGUCAGCAAACUCUAGUCUUGGGCCAAGUCCAGCCUGCCACCUGUUUUUGUACAGCCUGUGAGCUAUAAAUGGUUUUUACAUUUUUAAAUGGUUGGGGGAAAAGUCAAAAGAAUAUUUUGAAAAAUGUAAAAGUUAUAUGAAAUUCAAAUUUCAGUGUCCAUCAGUGAACUUUUAUUGGAACACAGCCAUGCACAUCCGUUUAUGUAUUGUCUGUGCCUGACUGCUCUCACACAAUGACAGAGUUGAGUAGCUGUGACAGAGACUUUAUGUCCCACAAAGCUAAAAAUGUUUACCCUUUGGCUCUUUACAGAAAAAGUUUGCCUAUGUUCAUUCUUAUGAGGGUAUAGUCUGGUGAAGGAGAUACUCCAGGUAAACUAAAUGGGAGCUUUUGGGGUGUUUCUUAAUAUGUUCAUAGAUACCAGUCCCUGUAAUCCUCACAGCAGCCUUGUGAAUGGGUACUAUUUUCCUUUUCCAUACAAUGAAAAAGAGACAUACCUGCCAAAGGGCUACCCAGUUGGAAAGUGGUAGUGAUGGGAUUUGCACCCAGCUGGAGACCACUGUGAACCAGGGCAGUGGUGAUGACCCAGAAGAGCAGUGGCAACAAAGGCUGAGAAAAGGCUAAGAUUCAGAUGCCCAGAGAUGCACAGAAAGAGCUUUCCAGGUGGCAGGUGUUCCAUGGGUAAAGGUCUGGCGCUGGGAUUGAAUGGUGUGCAUGGAGAAUGGAAGAGGCUGAGUGGGAGCCCCCAAGCUGGUUGGGGUCAAGCCAUGGCAUUCCCAAGUGGAGGGCAACGAUGAAGAAACACUCUGGGCCUAGGUUCAGAUCCUCAGCAUGCCACUUAAAGCUGUGUGUUUGGGGCAAGUUGCUUAACUGUAAAAAUAGUGCCUACCUCCUUAGGCAGUUGUAAGGGUACACUGAAUUUAGUCUAUGUGAACUGUUUAUUUUUAUUUUUUUAAGAUUUUUAUUUAUUCAUGAAAGACACAGAGAGAGAGAGGCAGAGACACAGGCAGAGGGAGAAGCAGGCUCCAUGCAGGGAGCCCGAUGUGGGUCUUGAUCCCAGGACUCCAGGAUCAUGCCCUGGCCAAAGGCAGAUGCUAAACCGCUGAGCCACCCAGGGAUCCCUAGGUGGACUGUUUAGAGGGCAAAUGGCACUUGUGUUAGUAAAUACAAUAUAUGUCAUUAUUAUUAAGGUUAUUAUUGUCCAAAACUGGAUGUGAUUUGAAGGUUGGCAUAAAUAAAGGCCUGAUACAUGGAAAAGGAAAGCACAAGUGGGGCCUUGUGCUUGGGGCAUACUAAGUAGGAAAUGUGAGAUGGGAGCCAAGGAAAUACAGAGGAGGCAAGUUGCUGUGCAGUAGGUUUGGGGGGUCCCCCAAGGAUCUAGAGGGACAAACGCAGAAGAGAGCAGGAACAGAAGGAGCCAGGGAAGGGGCAGACAUUCAUUCUCACUCAUGAGGAGCUUUUUGCCCAGUACUUGGUAUGUUAUUAAUCCUCACCAGAAUCCUUCUAAGUCAGUCCUGUCAUCCCCACUUUAUAGGUAAGGAUGCCAAGGCUUGGAGAAUUGCCAGAAUUGUAAAAAGUAUCUCACAAAGUAUAUCCUGAGACUGGCUACAGCCCUAGACCUGCCAGGUCCCCAAGUCCCACCCACUUUUACCUAUCAGUGGUCCCAUUUCUCCAUAGCCCCCUAUGGCAGGGUAUCCUUGGUGCCAUGGGGCUUCCCUCAUCUCUGCUUGGGGCAGAGGUGGGUGCUCAUUGCUGUAGGGAAGUGAAACCUGUGCCCAGUCUAUGCCUAGGUCAUCAGGUAGUGGCUGGAUAGGUUCCUGGUGUGACAGCUCUGCCUGGAGCAAAUGACUUGGAGUGGGGUGCAAGGCAACCCAGGAGUCACCCAAGCAUGAAGAGUACUUACCCACAAAGGGGCACUCCUUCUGCCACUGACCCUGACUUCCUCCAUGGCUUUUUUCUACUCCACUGUGCAAAUCCUUGACCUAGGGACAUGGCAAGGUAAGGGCCUGCACUAUGCCAAGCAUGGUAGUAGGGAUUUACAUGUAUGUAAAGGACUCUCACUGGAGCUUGGGAAUAAAGGUUCUAGAGUCUGAGUUUGUAUCCUGGUUCUGACACUAGGUGACCUGGAGGCACCUAUAGGGGUGAGGUGCCCCUAUAUCUCUGAGUCUGUUUCAUCUGCAGAAGUUGGUAAUGGGACCAACUUCACAGGUUGUGCUGAGAAUUAGGCACAGAAACUGUUAGCUCACAAUGGUCUCCUUUAAGCUUCAAGCCUGUUUUACUGAGGAGGAAACUGAGGCUCAGAGAUUUGCCCAGGGUUGACAGUGAGCAGAUGAUGGAGUUGGACAGCCAAAGCUCAGGCUCUUUACCCUUCUUCCAAGUUUUGUUACCUUGACUAUGGCAAUGUUCUAUGCAGCUUUCUUCCCUGUGGUCUGAUGGGCACAGGUGGAUAAAGGAAAUACAUUAGUUGGUGGGUAGGGGGCAGACAGGGGGCCUCCUCUUGCUGCUCAGGCCUUAGGUGAGUAGUGCUUUGGAAGAAGCAGCCUGCUUACUUUGUUGUUCCCCUCCUGCCACACACAGGUACUACUUCCUAACUGUGGUCCCUACCUGUCCAUGGACAUGAUGAGGGGCUGUGAGGGGGACAGGACUGAUAAUGACUUCAGUUUAAGGCCUGGUUCUCUGCUUUAACGCCUGACGAGUGCCACCAGGUGGCAGAUCUUGUGGUGGUCACAAGGCCUCAGCAUUUUAGCAUCACCCUUUCCUCUGACACUGAUACUAAAUGGCCCGAGCCUCCAUCCCACACACUCCACAGAAACCAGCAACUUACCCAAGAUUUCAUGUAGAUGGCUUAGAGGUGUUUUAAAAAAUCCAGCUGAGUCUUUGCCUUAAACCAGAACAAUGUAAUUAAUGAUACUAAUGUGGGUCUCAGUCAUUUCAUGCUUUGUUUAUUUCUCCUGGUCUAUGUUGAUUUUUCUCUUUUAUCACUUUUUCCUACUUCUUUGGAGGUUAAAUACUAUUUCUAUUAGUCUAGGGGUCUGCCUCUUCCUAGAGGCUUCUCAAGAGGACUGGGCUGCUUUAAGUUGGCUAGCCCUCUCUCGCUGCAAUUUUUGCUCCCAUUAAAUUCCUCACUGUGCUCAUUUCUUGCCCCUUGUUUGCUGUCCUCUUCCCGCCUUUCCUUCAUACAUUUACGACAAAGCACGCAACAACCUUUUACUUAACCCUGUACGUAACAUGGGGUUUGGGGGGUUCACGUUGCUGAGCUUCUUAGAGCCCCUCAGCCAUGAGAAUUUUCUCCCUACCCAUGUGCCUCCUUGGGUCUUAGCUGGUUGCUAUGCUGGGUCCUAACUCUAGGUCUUCUCUCCCAGAGCCCCACUCCUUGCCCUUCACCAUCCUGGACUACCCUACCUACCCUCCAUCACUAUCACCACCUUGCCCAGUUUUUCUCCCUGGAUGUUUUGUUACCUGAACUCAUGGUUAAAUCUGCUUACUUGUUAACUGUCUCUUUCCUAAUAAGCUUCAUGAGGAUGUCCUGCUCACCAAGGGUGUCUGAGGCUGGGGCUGGCACGCAGCAGUAGAGACAGGAGUCAAUAUUUGUUGAACAAAUGGGUGAAUGCCAGCAGCUGAAUCCUCAGUGGGAACGUGCACCUAUCAGUCCCAGUGCAGUGGGUACAAUGAGGAGGAAGAGAGGUCUCCUGGGAUCCCACCCCCACCCCAGAUGCCCACCCUCUGGGUCCCAAAGGGCCCCCCACCCAAGGCUGAAAAACUGGACUCAGGGGAGCAGAUACAGUAAUGUACUAACGUUUUUAAUACAGUCUGAUCAGAUCAAUUCACAUCACCAGGUCAACCUGGGCCUGCUCACAUGUGACACAGCCGAGGUACACAAGGUCCCCACCUGCCAGCUCUCCUUCCUUCCUGGCUACCAACAACACUGAAACCCCCUAUACCUCCCUGACCAGACUGGCAUUUUUAAAAUUUUGCAUAAAACUAUUUCUUCCAUAGACCUCAAACAAUCAACUAGCCAAGUUAAUUAUGAUACAUCUAAACAAAGUUUAAUACUAACCCUAACGUGUGACUGCGGUUUACAAAGAGCUCUGUAUCACCUGGGAUAGCUUUCAGUAGCAAUUCACUACAACUGGUCCUAAAAAAUAAUAACAAUAAUAAUAAUAAUUAGAGAAUUAAAACCCAACAGCAAGUUGAAUGGUUAAAAUCACGUACGAACUGGAAUUUGGGGUGGUGUGUCCUCAAUAGCUGAGCUUGUCCUAGUAGCAAAAUACUACCUCCAGGUAGGGCUCAGAAAGGUCUGGGGCCCUCCAGGUCAAGGGUCAAGCUCAGGGGCUCUCGGAGGACACUCACCCCAUGGUCCAUGGGAUGCUGUAGGCUUCCAGCUUCCUUCAAAAACAGUUGGGCAUCAGCAUUGUGUAAGUGGGUGGCGACCCUAAUGUGGUUUCUCUUGAGGGAUAUGAGAAGGGGGAAGGGACCCAAAUCACUGAAGUCCCAGAAUGCCGUCAGGUGUGGGUUUGGGAUUGGGGUCACUAAGAAUUGAGCACCAGGAACUCCAGCUUCCGCCCAUUAGAGAAACCGAGACUGGUGUUGCCUUGGAGGCCUAUGUAGUGUUUUCUGCCCUUAUCCCAUACCAGGUCUUGCAGAUAUUCCUGCAGGGUAUCAGAUGAGAAUCUAUUUCUAAAGACCACUGAGGGGAUGGGUGGUGGAAAGGGAGUGGGUGGGGUGACAGGUGGGGAGAACGGGGAGUUAAAAACGAAUAAAAAUCUCUCAGCUACAGAACCCAAAGACAUAACUUCCCUCCGCAUUCACAGCAUUUCUCAGCAGUCCCCAGUGGCCAUUUCCGUGGGGACACAGCAUCUGCCUCACUUCCCCUCAGGCCCCAUGGGCUGCUGGUCAACCUCAGGAUCUACUAAAGAUGAUGCAAACGCCGACUGGACAAUCUGAAACCCAAACGACUCGAGAAGAGACAUGUUCUGCUGGGGAGAGAAAGGUGAGCCGAGGGCAGGACCCAGGUCCCCCAGAGGGCCCCCAAGGGCCCGGACAUGCACCUUCUGGAUGUGUUUGUUCAAGUAGGACUUAGAGCGGAAGAAGCUCCCGCAUUCAGGGCAAGGGUACUUCUUCUCCCCGUCAGACUCCAUUUUGUUUUUGGGGACUGCCAUGUCACAGGAGAAGGAGCCAUUGGUGCUCUGCUUCUCGGGUGUCUUCAGGUCACUGGCGUCCGAGAGGUCACCAUAGGAAUCGGAGCUCUCAAUCGGAUCCUGAUGUGAGCAUUUCUGGCCUUCUAGGAAAAAACAAAACACAUAGGAAAGAUGAGGCCAGGCUUUGGAGAUGCCUCCUCCUGGAGGGGUCGGGAAGGGCCAGCUCACAGGCCUGUGGAGGGCAGCGGAUGGCCAGCCACCACCCUGGCAGAACCUACGGAGGUUCAGCUGCUCAGUCUGGGAGCCUGGUGUGCCUACGGGGUGAGACAGCAGGGCCCUGGGGCUGCCAGCCUCCCUCGCCGCGGACUCUUCAUGCAGGUGCACGUGUAUCGCUCACCACCAUCUCAGCCUGCUUCAAGAAGAGGGUAUGGAGAGGGGGCCUCCGCUGCUUCCAUCCAGAACAACUCAAGGACCCCCAGCUCCUAGGCACUUUGUUGGCUGCCCCUGGGGGUAAGACGGCUGUUCUGAGGAUGCUGAGCAGGUACAUCAAUGGCCUCACCUCCACACCAGACUAGCUGCACUCUAGCAAGGCAGAACCAGAGCCGAGAGGUCCUCAACCCGCGGAGCCCACUGACGGCUGAAACAGAAACCAAUCCUUUUCCCAAUGCUGCAAGAACACAAGCCCUGUCCUAACCGCCUUCUUUCUGCCGAAACCCAUCCAGGGCCGAGCGGCCAAAGCAUAGAGAUUAAAAAGCAACUUUGAACAACUUAGUCAGCUAACUGUCCCCACACAGGGCUCAGGACAAGCUGGGCCUCGAGACAAUCCUAAUCGCUCUGCCUUGCCCUGCCCACACUGCAGUCCUCCACCAAUCAGCAGCUUCCUGCCUGGAUUCAGAGAGCCAUGCCGGGAAGGGAGCUCUGUGAUGGGAGCGUGGAGCAUGCCAUCUCUGCCAUUUCUGCCAUCUGCCAAGCCCCUGGCAUCAUCCCCAAGGCAACAACUUCAAAUACCACAGAACAACCUGAAUCAACAAGUGAAGGUGGGGCCUAGGGAACUCUCCGCAGACCAACUCCAAGUCAGAGGCAGUCACGUAGCUCAUUUAUUGCCAUGCAUCUCACAAACGCAGCCAGAGGCCCUCCAGAAAGGGCCGCUCACAGCAACCAGUCACCCCUAUAGAGGGGGAAGCCAGCCCUCGGCUCCCCCUUGUCCACAGGGUCGAAGGAAAAUAAAGCAUUCAGCGCAGCUCCACACAAUCCUUAAAGGGCCACAGGCAAUGGACAGGCCCAGAGUGACUCAUCAUGCAGGGCUCCUCUUCCAGCCUUGGGCCCGGGGCAUCCCUGCAGGGCUCCAGACAGUGAGGGCUGGCCAGGAGCAAGGGAGGAGGGCUAGGGAAGAGGAGGCGGGGGCUGGAUCUUGGCAGUGCCCUAAAGCCUCACUCACUGCCCUGGAGUGAGAUACCCACUGUGACUUUCGUCCUGGAGGCCACUGCCACUCAGAUCUCAAAGCCUCCUUGAGGCGGCCAGCAAGCCGGCAGCCUUCCCGCCUCCCCACGCCCGGCCCAGCGCCCCCACAACACAGUCUGCGCAGAGAAGCAAAGUGCAGAGCAAGGGGUCGCUUGCCUUUGUUGCCAUAGGUCCUGGCGCAGUGGAACGCUGCUCCCCCAUUCGGGAUGGGCUCCUGGUGCCUGGAGACCUGGGGAAGGGGAACACCGUGGUGGGUUUUAACAUGGACCUUUAAGUAGGAGGCAGAGGAGAAACCUAAACAAGACAAAAGGAGAUGAGAUCCCGCGGCCAGCACAGAGAUACCUCUCUGCUUCCCCCACGCCUCUCCUCUGGCCGCUCUGGCUAGCAUUCCCAGGUCAGCUGCACCUAGAAGGGGCCCCCUUGUUGGCUCAAAAACGGCUGCAACCACAGGAGCCACCUGGCUCAGGAUAGGUGGCACUGUCCUCGAAUUGGCUUCUCUGCAGAGCCCACUCUGCAAGGCUGUGGUGGAGGACCCAGGCCAGCUGCCUGGAGGGAUGACCUGAGAUCCUGCUCCUGCCAGUGCUAGAGGCCAAAUGCCUCUAGGCUUGCUUGAUGCCUCAGUAGUGAGAGGUUGGAGAUGUCCCACAGCCCCAGGUCAACUGCAGAGACUGCAGCUAGAAAUGUAGUCAGAAAAGUCAUGAGGCUCAGGGGCAGCCACAAGACUCCAACCAACAGAAUGCCUGCUUAACACUUGUAAAGGUAAAUGCACAACAAACCAGAUGGAGGCAAGAUGAAAUCCCAAAGGAAUGGCUCCAGGAGUCUCCCUUCUUCUACCUAGCAGGACAUGUUCUGUUUUGCUAAUUUUCUCACUUUUAGAAUAACUGGAUUUAAUAACUCUUCAGACCUUCUGAGGAACAACAGAAAUAGCACAUCAUGUAAAAGGGGCUCAGUCAGCUCUUAUUCACAGUCAUCUUUUUGGUUUGGUUUUGGAGCAUCCAUCAGUUUCACUUAAGGAAGAAACAGAGAUCAUCCUUGUCUUUAUUUUGGAGGAGGGGCAAUCCAGCCAUCUUGAAACUGCAGCAGCCCAACCCAGAAGCUCCGGUCAGUUUGACCCAUGCAGUAUCUCAGGCUGGGAAGAACAGAUCUUGGGCCCAUUUCCACACCAGCUGCCAAGUCUGAAGACAUGAAACCAGGUAGGCCAGUCAAAGGAUACUGACUUGGGUUUUGCAGGAAGUUGUGUCCUCCAACUGCACCAUGGUCAAGGAUCAAAACAUGCCUUCAGCAGGAACUAAAGCGUUUUAGCAUAAGGUCCACUUGGAGUGCUAGUGCCCUUUAAUCUACUCCAGAUGUGGUUGACACAUUCUCAAGUGCUUUUUAUUCCCCCUCUAAAAUUACAGUUCUAGGAUAACAGUGGGAUCCACUUUUAAUAGGUCAGAGGCUGCAGAGUACUGUGUAAUGUCUGCACAAGACUUGUUUUAAAAAAUAUGAUUUGGCAUGGCCUUUCAAAUACUGCUGGAACAGUAAUAAAGGUUCACUUUCAGCAAGAGAUAAUGGUAUGCCAGCGCCCAGCACACCAUGUGCAUUAUUCUGUAGAAUUCCCCCAGCCACCCUAUGAGCUGGGAAUUAUUAGUAUACUUGUUUCAUAGAUGAAGAAAUAAGAGGGUUGGUAAGGUUAAGUAACUUGCAGGCACAUGUGCAGCUACUAUAUAUAUGGCAGAGCAUGGAGUCCAACCCCAGGACAUGUGCCACUAUGUGGUCCUUAAGCACUGAGCAAACUCUUCAAUGGGCCCUGGCCCUGGGGAAAUCCCUUAGAUUUCAGCAGUACGUUCAUUAUCACCGUUUACACUUCUGUGUUUCUCUGCCAUAUUGGUGGGUUAGAAUGGAAGCCACUAGCAGACAGGAGCUAAACUGUGGAAAGCUUAUUUAACAAAUACUCCUCUGAUGAUAGCAGUUGAUAGUUUUGGAGGAAAGAAGGACUAAGUGAAUUGUCCUUUCUUUCCUAAUACAGCUACUUUACAGACCGGCUGGUCCAGUUACUGGUGUCCUACCCUGCCUAGUAGAGUGACCUGUCCUGUGCUGUGACUCAGUAGACUGUCUGGGGUCAAUCACAGGGGACAGACUGGCUUAAGAGGGUCCCAUAUAGGGGUGCCUGGGUGGCUCAGCGGUUUGGCACCUGCCUUUGGCCCAGAGCGUGAUGCCGGGGACCCAGGAUCGAGUCCCACAUCGGGCUCCCUGCAUGGAGACUGCUUCUCUCUCUUCCUGUGUCUCUGCCUCUCUGUGUCUCUCAUGAGUAAAUAAAAAUCUUAAGAAAAAAAAAAAAAAAAGGGUCCCAUAUAAACAGUCCUAAGAGGGAGG